AACUUUCAGAAAGAAUUGCAAGUAAAUGGUCAAUGUAUCAUUUAGGUAUAUGUAUGUUUUUGGUACUCAUAUGUACAUUUGAGGUAUCAACUCGGUAAAAAGGUGUACUCUUCAAAAUGCAUCUGUAUAAGUGUAAAAUAAUGAAGCAAAGGGAUAAAGUAAAUACAUCUAUGUGUUAAUCUGUUCACAGGUCAAAUGAUGCAGUUGCGGCACACAAGACUUUCUCUAAACCCCCUAUACCAUCACCAGAAUGUCAGAGAAAAUCCUGCACUAUUGAGGAUUAUGAAGAGAUUUAUGCCAACAUGGAAGAUCUCAACAUUUAUGGAAAUGUCUAAUGAAAAUGCUCCACAUCAUCUCCAAAAUGUGCUUAAUACAUUGUUUAACACAGAAAAGACUAAAUUCAAACAUGUAGUCAAAAUAAAAAAAUAAAAAUAACUUUGUCAUGGAUGUGUCAUGGAAAAAUAGCAUCAACAUUUUAAUUCACAUUAUUUUAUAUUAGACUUACUCUAACUUUGUCUAAAUUGUUUGGCAUCUGGAUCUUUCUCUGGCUUUUUGAGCUCUAAGGAGCAAGUUGGCUAGGUAAACAACUUUUCAGGGAUAAUUUACCCAAUAGCACUUUAGUUUCUUCCCCUUGCAGUAGACACAUCAUUUUUAUCAAAGUAUCCUAAUAUAAUUAUAUUGUUAUUAAUUUAGAGAUGGCAAAUACUAAUGCCUAGAGGGUCUUCAUUUUUGCAAGCUAGGAAAGCUGUCACUAGGACAGUGCCCUUCCUAAUAAAUAACAUUAGGUACUGAUACAGUACGUACCUUUGAGGUGCUAAUAUGCAGUCUUUAGGACAAAGGUUUACUUUUUGAAAGGGUACUGCCCCAGUGACCCAUUUUGUAGCUUUUUUCCAAAUGUGUGCUGCCCUCUAGAGGAUAUUAAAUAAAAUAUUGAUACAAGUUUUUGUCUUUAGUAGAGUUUCUGGUAGCACAGCUAAAGACAAGAGAACAAAGUGCAAAAUUUGGAUUGCUAUGUCUGGCUUUAUUGGUGUUAUGUGUUGUUUGUGUUGGAGUUGCCUGUUAUCAAUACCAUUACAAUCUGCUAUACUUCAUUAUCCAUCUCAUCUGCAUGCGCUCUGUUGUAUGUUUGAAUAAACACCCAUUUGGUUGUAUUCCGUUGUCAUAUCCAUCUGUCUACCAUAACAGAAGUCUGGACGAUAAACCAUAAACAUGUCAACAGACACUGCAGACCCAUUUCAGGAAGUGGUGUACACACUAUGCCAGGCAUUACUUCGCACUUCCACAACACGAGUCACAGCACAGAUCCAUGCUACCACAGUCACAGCUCUUAUGACUAACCCGUUGCCCUAUUCUGGCUUGGUGGAGAAAUGUGAAGGUUUUCUUUUGCAUUGUUCUUUAAUCUUCAAGAUAGCAUUUAUCAUAUUUUUACUCACCAGAGAGGCAUUAUGGUGGGCUGAAUCCAUCUGGCAGCAAAACAGAUCAUCUGUUCAUACCAUCCAGGACUUCAUGGAUUAUUUUCAAGAGAUAUUUGGUAUUUCAGCUGGUGGUUCUACUGUUUGCGGGACCAUCUUAAACAGGGAAAGUUGUCUGCUGCCAAGUAUUCACUUAAGUUUUGCAUGCUAGCAGCCGCUAGUGGUUGGACUGAACGAGCCCUUAUCACCACCUACCAUAAUAUACUGAAACCGGUGUUAAGGUUAAAGCUAUCAGCUUAUGAUGACACCAUGGGCUUAGAGAGGGGAUGUGUCUCCCCUGCAAGAAGCUGAGUCCCAGAUACAUCAGCCCAUUCACUAUAAUUAAGAAGGUCAAUCAGGUAGCAUGCGAUCUUCAGCUCCCUCCUAACUAUCGGAUUUCAUGUUUCACAAUUCAAACCAUAUCACUCACCUUCUCCCUUUCUACAGAGCCUGGUGAAGAA